rnacentral:tRNA from 1 species
GGCCCGUUCGUCUAGUGGACUAGGACACAAGAUUUUCAAUCUUGGAACAGGAGUUCAAUUCUCCUACGGGCUACCA